rnacentral:rRNA from 1 species
UACGGGGGGGCAAGCGUUGUUCGGAAUUACUGGGCGUAAAGGGCUCGUAGGCGGCCAACUAAGUCGGAUGUGAAAUCCCCAAGCUUAACUUGGGAACUGCAUCCGAUACUGGAUGGCUUGAAUCCGGGAGAGGGAUGCAGAAUUCCAGGUGUAGCGGUGAAAUGCGUAGAUAUCUGGAGGAAUACCGGUGGCGAAGGCGGCAUCCUGGACCGGCAUUGACGCUGAGGAGCGAAA